GCUGAAUUGUAAGAUAUAUAGAUCAUAAUCCUACAUUUCUUGUUUUUGUUUUUUUGUUGUGCCAUCCAGUGAGAACUCCGGUGAGAAGACCCACUGUGGAGAGCAAUAUGGUGAAAAACAGAGACAAGAAACAUCAGUUAAUUUAUCAGGCUACAGUGCCAAUAAGUGGAUACUCAAGCAAAGCAGACCAGACUGCGCAGGAUGAAGGUAUUUUAUUGUAGAUGCAGUGUACACAAUUAUACUUUUAUAUAAUAUUAUACAUAGAAUAUAAUGCAGUUGUAUAAGAAUAUAAACAAGAAUAUUAUUCAUUAAAUAAUUUAGAGUAUUUUAAUCUUUUAUAUGAAUUAACCCCUUAUUUCCCUGUGCUGUGUGCAGAGGUGUUGGACAGUGGUGUGCAGGUGGCGGUGGACGUGUCUCAGCUGCAGAGGGCUGGUGUGGUGCAUCGUGGGCAGGUUUUUGGACUCAGUGCUCUCUCUCUGGAGGAGCAGAGACUGCUGCAGUCUCUGGACAGACUCAACCACCGCCUGCAGUAUGUUCAGGACAUGUCUGCAGGAAAUACCGCACUGAAAGGAGUCUUCACGUUGGAUUCUGCAAAUAACCAGUCUCCCCAGACCGGUGAGGUUUUGGGUGGCACUCAGCGCAGGUACCACAACGGCUCAGCUGCUGAAAACCGCACCCGUUCACACAGACGCUACUGACUCCAGCUCCCAGAAUGCACUUCUCUCCAGCCUCACCGCCUUCCAGCCUAUCCCGGACUGCACUUUUAAGGACAACUUCUGCCCCACAUUUUUAUUAUAUGGUGGAUUAUCACAGACAAUGAUUUUCAUGUUUUAAAAAAAUCUGAGAACCUGCUGGUUCUGCACGUUUUGGCUCAACUGGUUAUCUGUUAUAGAAAAAAAAAAUGCAGAUUAAGCAUAACGUCCUUGUUUCUACACCCAUUAUCUAUCUUAACAUAUAGCAGCACUUUGUAGUUCUAUAAUUGUCCUGAGUAUUGAAGAACAGGAUGAAAGGAGAAUAAUAAUAAAGUAUAGAUUAUACAGAGAAACA
rnacentral:lncRNA from 1 species